CAUACAUAUAGCGUCGCGGUGGGACGAUUCAGGAGCGGAUAAUGUUUUUGUUGGCCGCUACGUGCUCUGAUAAUUAAGACAUUUCCAUUUAAAGUUGACGUCCGGUGACGUGCGGAGAUGCGCCUGGAGCGCGUUCGUUUUCGGCGGUCCACGCUUCAGAAAAACCUAAUCCUCAUGCAUUGUGUUGAUAAUUAAUGGUGUAUGAUCGAGGGUUCCGUUCCUGGAACGAGGGAACGUAGCUGUAUAAGAAAGGAACGAUACGUAGAAAAAAUGACAGCUCAUAACCUAUUAACCAGGUCAUUUCUUAACCAGCAACUUCUAUAAUCAUAGGAUUGAUAGAAUUAAUAUAAGCAACAAAAUUAAAUAAUCGUAGAAAAGAGAUUUGGAUUCGAAUGACGAGUCAACUCGAUCUCCCUUGUUAACAGGUUAAAAGUGGCAUGAUUAAUUGUAAAUCAUAAGAAGUAAUUCAUAAGAGUAGCGGUGAAUAAAAAAUUGUGAUAUAAGAUUGAAA